rnacentral:rRNA from 1 species
GACGAACGCUGGCGGCAUGCCUAACACAUGCAAGUCGAACGAGACCUUCGGUCUAGUGGCGCACGGGUGCGUAACGCGUGGGAAUCUGCCCUUGGGUUCGGAAUAACUCAGAGAAAUUUGAGCUAAUACCGGAUGAUGACGUAAGUCCAAAGAUUUAUCGCCCAAGGAUGAGCCCGCGUAGGAUUAGCUAGUUGGUGAGGUAAAGGCUCACCAAGGCGACGAUCCUUAGCNGGUCUGAGAGGAUGAUCAGCCACACUGGGACUGAGACACGGCCCAGACUCCUACGGGAGGCAGCAGUGGGGAAUAUUGGACAAUGGGCGAAAGCCUGAUCCAGCAAUGCCGCGUGAGUGAUGAAGGCCUUAGGGUUGUAAAGCUCUUUUACCCGGGAUGAUAAUGACAGUACCGGGAGAAUAAGCUCCGCUAACUCCGUGCCAGCAGCCGCCGCU